rnacentral:rRNA from 1 species
AUUGAACGCUGGCGGCAGGCCUAACACAUGCAAGUCGAGCGGAGCGGCGGACGGGUGAGUAAUGCCUAGGAACCUGCGUGGUAGCGGGGGAUAACGGCCGGAAACGGGCGCUAAUCCCGCAUACUAUGAGAUGACGCUAGGGCGUAUUAGCUAGUUGGUGGGGUAACGGCCUACCAAGGCGACGAUCCGUAACUGGUCUGAGAGGGUGAUCAGCCACACUGGAACUGAGACACGGUCCAGACUCCGACGUGAGGCAGCAGUGGGGAAUAUUGGACAAUGGGCGAAAGCCUGAUCCAGCCAUGCCGCGUGUGUGAAGAAGGUCUUCGGAUUGUAAAGCACUUUAAGUUGGGAGGCGUUAUCAAAAGAAUAAGCAACGGCUAACUUCGUGCCAGUAGCCGCGGUAAUUC